GGAUCAGUUGAUGAGCAAGAAGAGAAUUAAAAACUGCAACAAUAUGAUGGGGUUGCACUCCCAUGAUUCAUCACAAACCUCUGAUGAUC